AAAUAACCAAUUUUUCUAAGGAAAAAUUAUUUAUUGCACCAUGUCAUCGCAUCAAUCCACGGACAGGCCAAAAAGAUUAGCGAAUAAGCCACGUAGAUAUAAAACUACUUCAAGUGAAGACAAAAUAAAAAA
rnacentral:lncRNA from 13 species